ncrna:unclassified sequences L2-Alphaproteobacteria ribosomal protein leader
GGCUCGCAAGAGCCCAAACAUAGCGGGGCGGAAAGCCUCGCAUUGCUAAACGGAAGACAGAAA